UUUCACUGAAACAAGGGAAAACAUUAGCAGCAGUAAGGAAUUUUAUGUAAUAUACGAAAGUAAGACAUAGUUAGGACAUUUUUAUCUGUCAAAUUAAGUGCCAGCAGACGCGGUGAAACUUAAGGAUUUGUUUUUUAGAAAAAGCAGAAAGCGUGUAAAGGUAAAAAAAUAUUUAAAAUAAAUAGAAUUUUUUUAGUAAUAGUGAAAUGUUAUUAUAAGGAAAAGAAUUCUUUAUGUGAAAAUAAUUUAUUUUUUUUUUUCUUAAGCACGAGGGUUUUGGGAGUAAACAGGAUUAGAGACCCUGGUAAUCAAUACAGUAAAAAAAAAUCGCUUGAGUAGUACGGUCGCAAGAUUAAAAUUCAAAAAAUUUGGCUGUUCAUUGUUAUUUAGAGGAGCGUGUCGUUUAAUUCGAUAAUCCGCGAAUUACCUUACCAAGACUUGGUUUUCCGGUGUUGCAUGGCCGUCGUCAAUUUAUGUUUGAUACAAUAAAUUAAAUCCUAGAAAGGUUGAAGUCAGGUAUUAUUGCCCUUAUGUUUUGGGAUUAGAUGCGCUACAUUUUUUUAAUAAAAAAAAAAGAGUUCGGAUUGUUUUUUAAAUAGAGCAAUUAAGUUGAAUUUAAUAGUAAUUGAAAAGUAGAGCGUUUCAAUGAAUUUAAAACAAUGUUAGUACAAAUUGCCCGUCGCCUUUGCUGAGGUAAACAAAGCAGAGUAAGUCGUAACA
rnacentral:rRNA from 1 species